CUACCCUGUGAUUGACAGGUCGCUACCACGAUGUUGUCCGGUCUGGGAGUUGUCCGUGUUUUUGUCUUACAUCUGAGAUUCGCCCUGAGAUGCUGAAGGCUCUGGACAUUGUUGGGCUGUCGUGGCUGACACGCUUCUUCGGUGUCUUCCCAUUUUUAAAAAGGGGGACCGGAGGGUGUGCUCCAAUUACCGGGGUAUCACACUGCUCAGCCUCCCUGUGAAAGUUUAUUCUAGGGUGCUGGAAAGGAGGCUCCGUUCGAUUGUCGAACCUCGGAUACAGGAGGAGCAAUGCGGAUUCCGUCCUGGCCGUGGAACAGUGGACCAGCUCUUUACCCUUGCAGGGCUGUUGGAGGGGUCAUGGGAGUUUGACCAUGCAUUAUCAAAUCACUGGACGAGGGUGCUUUCAAAAGCAGACGGUUCGCAUAGCAAAAUAUCAAGGGAGUAAAGUAAAAAAACAAAACAAAAACUCAAUUAAAUUAACUUAGUCUAAUGUAGUUUUAAAAAUGUUUUUCCAUAUGUUGUCAUGUAGGGAGAACAAAAUGGCGUGGUGGAGUGAAUGAUGUAAUGGAAGAGUUGAUGAUCAGGAGUUAUGGGAAAAACAAGCUGAUGGGAGAACGUGUCUGGAGAGUAAAGAGGAGGAGGAGAGAGAGGGAGGGCAGCGGGAAAGAUGAUGGAAACGAAGAAGGCAGCUCCACACCCCCACCAACCUCAUCCUCCUCUCCCUGGCUGUGUCUGACUUGCUCGUGGGCCUCGCAGUGAUGCCGGGUACAAUCGUCUCGAUGCAGACCUGAAAACGGUUAAAGUCAUUGUCAGCCUUCAGGUGCUGCAGCCUGGUUCCCGUGAGGCCAAGAUCAUGUAGAGAGAAAUAAUACACUGUAUACAAACCGACUUAUUUUAUGAAAGUGAAGUCAGUCUAAUUGAUGGUGACGUAAAUUUGAACACAGUGAAAGUACAACGUGACAUUAGGACAGCAAUUUGUGUACCUGUUUAUACGUAUUACAUAAUCUGAUGGUUAAAAUUCAUAGAGGUUGAUUUUUUUUAAUUUGGGAGAGUCAAAAGUGACCGUAGUUGCAGAAGCACCCAUGUAUGUAAACCACUAUACUUUUGACCUUUGCCAGUUAAGAUAAUGGAGAUUUGGUUUAGAAAAGCUAUUGAGUUAUUUCCUGUCAGUGUGUUUAAUAUUAGUGCAAUUCAAGACUGAACAGUGUCCCCUAAUGAAUGACGUAUAGUAGGUGUAGCCUUUACAUUGCAAAGAAAGAAAGAAAGAAACGACAUUACUGUAUGUGGCAUAAACCGAUUAAAUGGCCAAACAGAGUGAAUGCCAAUAUUAAAGUGGACCUAUUAUGCUUUUGCACUUUUUCUCCUUCCUUUAGUGUGUAAUAUUGUUUUUUUUACAUGUAAAAGGUUUGCAAAGAUACAAAGCCCAAAGCUCACACCACUGGGAGUUACUCUCCCCCACAGAAACAGUGCUCCUCAACUGCCUGAAACACCUCGCUUGAAGUCCCGCCUUUUCUUCCGUAACGCGGUGAUUGUUAGUUCAAUAACUCCAACGACAACUUUGCAUAUUCAGACUUUACACCAACUUGAGCUCGACAUCAACAACAGCGGCUGCAGCCAGCACAUCAACAAAACCGAAAGUAAGACACUUAACACAUGCGCAGUAGGUAACCAAGCACUUAACAGUGAUGUCACCAAGUAACACCUUUGCAUAAUGGCUAGUUUGACACGCCCUCAAACAAAGCUAGUUAGAGCAGAGCUGGAGCGGAGUCCAAAGAGUUUAGUUCGGUUGACCAAUCACAACAAAGGGCCAGCUGACCAAUCAGAGCAGACUGGGCUUUUUGGAAGUUUGGUUGGUUAAAAGUGUCUUAUUCAGCGUUUGGUUGUACAGUGGAAACCGAAAGGAUUCUCCAUAUAACCAUGAUCACUAUAAGC